rnacentral:rRNA from 1 species
AACGAACGCUGGCGGCAUGCCUAACACAUGCAAGUCGAACGAAGCCUUCGGGCUUAGUGGCGCACGGGUGCGUAACGCGUGGGAAUCUGCCCCUUGCUUCGGAAUAACAGUUAGAAAUGACUGCUAAUACCGGAUGAAUUCUUCGGACCAAAGAUUUAUCGGCAAGGGAUGAGCCCGCGUAGGAUUAGGUAGUUGGUGGGGUAAAGGCCUACCAAGCCGACGAUCCUUAGCUGGUCUGAGAGGAUGAUCAGCCACACUGGGACUGAGACACGGCCCAGACUCCUACGGGAGGCAGCAGUGGGGAAUAUUGGAAAAUGGACGCAAGUCUGAUCCAGCAAUGCCGCGUGAGUGAUGAAGGCCUUAGGGUUGUAAAGCUCUUUUAACAGGGAUGAUAAUGACAGUACCUGGAGAAUAAGCUCCGGCUAACUCCGUG